rnacentral:rRNA from 1 species
UACGGAGGUGGCAAGCGUUGUUCGGAAUUACUGGGCGUAAAGGGCGCGUAGGCGGCAAGGCAAGUCAGGUGUGAAAGCCCCGAGCUUAACUCGGGAAUUGCAUCUGAAACUGCUGUGCUUGAGUUCUGGAGGGGGUAGUGGAAUUCCCAGUGUAGCGGUGAAAUGCGUAGAUAUUGGGAGGAACACCUGCGGCGAAGGCGGCUACCUGGACAGAAACUGACGCUGAGGCGCGAAAGCUAGGGGAGCAAACGGG